rnacentral:rRNA from 1 species
AGAGUUUGAUCCUGGCUCAGGACGAACGCUGGCGGCGUGCUUAACACAUGCAAGUCGAACGAUGAUGCCCAGCUUGCUGGGUGGAUUAGUGGCGAACGGGUGAGUAACACGUGAGUAACCUGCCCCUGACUCUGGGAUAAGCGUUGGAAACGACGUCUAAUACUGGAUAUGACUGCCGGCCGCAUGGUCUGGUGGUGGAAAGAUUUUUUGGUUGGGGAUGGACUCGCGGCCUAUCAGCUUGUUGGUGAGGUAAUGGCUCACCAAGGCGACGACGGGUAGCCGGCCUGAGAGGGUGACCGGCCACACUGGGACUGAGACACGGCCCAGACUCCUACGGGAGGCAGCAGUGGGGAAUAUUGCACAAUGGGCGAAAGCCUGAUGCAGCAACGCCGCGUGAGGGAUGACGGCCUUCGGGUUGUAAACCUCUUUUAGUAGGGAAGAAGCGAAAGUGACGGUACCUGCAGAAAAAGCACCGGCUAACUACGUGCCAGCAGCCGCGGUAAUACGUAGGGUGCAAGCGUUGUCCGGAAUUAUUGGGCGUAAAGAGCUCGUAGGCGGUUUGUCGCGUCUGCUGUGAAAUCCCGAGGCUCAACCUCGGGCUUGCAGUGGGUACGGGCAGACUAGAGUGCGGUAGGGGAGAUUGGAAUUCCUGGUGUAGCGGUGGAAUGCGCAGAUAUCAGGAGGAACACCGAUGGCGAAGGCAGAUCUCUGGGCCGUAACUGACGCUGAGGAGCGAAAGCGUGGGGAGCGAACAGGAUUAGAUACCCUGGUAGUCCACGCCGUAAACGUUGGGCGCUAGAUGUAGGGACCUUUCCACGGUUUCUGUGUCGUAGCUAACGCAUUAAGCGCCCCGCCUGGGGAGUACGGCCGCAAGGCUAAAACUCAAAGGAAUUGACGGGGGCCCGCACAAGCGGCGGAGCAUGCGGAUUAAUUCGAUGCAACGCGAAGAACCUUACCAAGGCUUGACAUACACCGGAAACGGCCAGAGAUGGUCGCCCCCUUGUGGUCGGUGUACAGGUGGUGCAUGGUUGUCGUCAGCUCGUGUCGUGAGAUGUUGGGUUAAGUCCCGCAACGAGCGCAACCCUCGUUCUAUGUUGCCAGCGCGUUAUGGCGGGGACUCAUAGGAGACUGCCGGGGUCAACUCGGAGGAAGGUGGGGAUGACGUCAAAUCAUCAUGCCCCUUAUGUCUUGGGCUUCACGCAUGCUACAAUGGCCGGUACAAAGGGCUGCGAUACCGUAAGGUGGAGCGAAUCCCAAAAAGCCGGUCUCAGUUCGGAUUGAGGUCUGCAACUCGACCUCAUGAAGUCGGAGUCGCUAGUAAUCGCAGAUCAGCAACGCUGCGGUGAAUACGUUCCCGGGCCUUGUACACA